UAAAAAUGUGUUAUGUUUAUUAUUUUUAUAAAGUUUUAAUUUAAAUGUAAGUUUUUGCAUGAAUAAUAAGUAUUUUAAAUAAAUUAUUAUAUAAAUUUACAAUAGAAAGAAUUAUUUUUUUAGUAUAUUAAGAUAUAGAAAUAAUUUUAAGUUUAAACAAAAUUUGUGCCAGCAGUUGCGGUUAUACAAAUUAAGCAAUAAAAAUGUUAUUACAGAAUUAGUAUUAUUUUAUGUAAAAAUUUAGUUAAAUAAAUUAAGUGAAAUUUUUUAUUUUUAAAAUUUUUUGAUUGUAGUAUUCUAAUAAGUUUUUUUUAUAAACUAGGAUUAGAUACCCUAUUAUUAAUUGAUUAAAUUAGGUUCUAAAUUAGUAAAAGUUAUAUCUUGAAAAUUAGUAAUUUUGGCGGUAUUUUAGUCUGUUCAGAGGAACCUGUCCUUUAAUUUGAUAAUCCACGAAUAAAUUUACUUAUUUUAUUAACUUAUAUAUCGUUGUUAAAUAAUUAUUUUAGUUGAAUAUGAAUAUUUUAAAUUUAUAUUUUUAAAGAAAAUCAAAUCAAGAUGUAGUUUAUAAAUAAGAAGAGAUGGGUUACAGUUUAAAUAAUUUAAUUUUAUGAAAGAUUUUUAGGAUUUGAUAGUAAUUUUAAAUAUUUUUUUAAAAUGAUAAAGCUCUAAAAUAUGUACAUAUCGCUCGUCGCUUUCAUUAUAAAAUGAAAUAAGUCGUAACAAAGUAGAUGUACUGGAAGGUGUAUCUAGAAU
rnacentral:ncRNA from 1 species